rnacentral:rRNA from 1 species
UACGUAGGGUGCGAGCGUUAAUCGGAAUUACUGGGCGUAAAGCGUGCGCAGGCGGUUGUGCAAGACAGAUGUGAAAUCCCCAGGCUUAACCUGGGAACUGCAUCCGAUACUGGAUGGCUUGAAUUCGGGAGAGGGAUGCAGAAUUCCAGGUGUAGCGGUGAAAUGCGUAGAUAUCUGGAGGAAUACCGGUGGCGAAGGCGGCAUCCUGGACCGACAUUGACGCUGAGGAGCGAAAGCUAGGGGAGCAAACGGGG